UUGAAUAAACCUGAUGUGGUUGUAGCUGGCUCUUUCGGGAGUAUGUGCACGGCCCAUCAUCUUUAUAUCUCCACCUGUGCACCUUUUGUAGACAGGAAGGAUUGAGAAAUCAAUCGUUUGGGUUUACGUUUUAUCAUAUACCCCAUAGUAUGUAUUAGAAUGAAUCAAUGGGCUUUGUGCCUAUAAACAUUAUA
rnacentral:misc_RNA from 1 species